UGCUAGAUUCAGGAGUGAAGCUGCUCUCUGAUGGACUGAAGGAUCCACACUGUACACUGAAGAAUCUGAGGAUGCGUUACUGCAGUAUUACAGAUGAAGGUUGUGCUGCUCUGGCUUCAGCUCUGACGUCAAACUCCUCAUCACACCUGAGUGAACUGGAUCUGAAAAAUAAUUAUCCAGGAGAAUCAGGAGUGAAGCUGCUCUCUGAUCUACUGAAGGAUCCACACUGUAAACUGGAGACACUACGCAUUAAGGACGAUACACUCACCAGGUCUGGUGUAUGACAGGAGUCUCUCCUCAGACCUUUUUCCAGGAUAAAUCAGUUAUUGUGGUGAAACAUUAGAACACGUCCCACAUUUCCAGCAGUUUUGGAGCUGAAUCAUUCAUAUUCAGAUGUAGAAGAUCCAUAACAAUAACUGUGACUGAUCACAUUAGGGCUGAAAAGAUUCCUCGAGUAAUUCAAGUAACUCGAUUACAAAGAUGAUUUGAGGCAAAUUCAUCUGCCUCGAAGCCUCUUAAUUCAUUUUAAAGCUCACAUGACAUUCUUGGGCUGCAAAAUGAAAGGGCGCGAUAACAAUGGCAAUGAGCAAAGAGAAGGAACAAACAGAAAAUGUCGAAACAUUGCUUCAAAGCACAGGGCAAGCAUCAGUUCUGAGCAUGUUGAUAUGCUUACCUUUCUUCAUUACAAUCACAUUGAAGACUUCACAUCACUUUAAAGACUUCUAAAGCAGGUCCAAGUUCCCGUCCAUGUUUUUUCUCUUUUAAAUACCACAAAGCAUCCCAAGAAGACAGUAAAGACUUAUGUUGUGCCUGAGCUGUAGAUUUUGAAUCUUUUAGUUCUGAAAGUCAAGUUGCAUGACUUGGCAGUAUUUUUGUAUUAUUUAUUUAUUUAUUUAUUUAAAUGUAUGCCUUAGUUUAGAUACUUUAAAAAUCAUUUGAAAGUAAUUUUUUUUUGUUUGUUUGUUUUAGCAUCUCAGAAAUGGGUUCAUUUAAAACCCAGAAUGUUUGCCACUUAAAUGUACUUAAUUCUUCUCAGUCAACUUUGACAUACAAGUACAGACAGAGAAACAAUGGGUAAUAUCUAAAUGUUUAUUUUUGAUAAAAGAUAUUGUUGUAUGAAUACUAUACGUUUAAAUAAUAAAAGUUCAUUUCAGUCAGGA